UACGGGGGGGGCAAGCGUUGUUCGGAAUUACUGGGCGUAAAGGGCUCGUAGGCGGCCAACUAAGUCGGAUGUGAAAUCCCCAGGCUCAACCUGGGAACUGCAUCCGAUACUGGAUGGCUUGAAUCCGGGAGAGGGAUGCAGAAUUCCAGGUGUAGCGGUGAAAUGCGUAGAUAUCGAGAGGAACACCGGUGGCGAAGGCGGCCUUCUGGACAGUGACUGACGCUGAGACGCGAAAGCGUGGGGAGCAAACAGG
rnacentral:rRNA from 1 species